AUUGAACGCUGGCGGCAGGCCUAACACAUGCAAGUCGAACGAGUGGCGGACGGGUGAGUAAUGUCUGGGAAACUGCCUGAUGGAGGGGGAUAACUACUGGAAACGGUAGCUAAUACCGCAUACCAUCAGAUGUGCCCAGAUGGGCUUAGCUAGUUGGUGGGGUAACGGCUCGAAAAGGCGACGAUCCCUAGCUGGUCUGAGAGGAUGACCAGCAACACUGGAACUGAGACACAGACCAGACUCCUACGGGAGGCAGCAGUGGGGAAUAGUGCACAAGAGGCGCAAGCCUGAUGCAGCCAUGCCGCGUGGAUGAAGAAGGCCUUCGGGUUGUAAAGUACUUUCAGCGGGGAGGCGUUACCCGCAGAAGAAGCACCGGCUAACUCCGUGCCAGCCGCCGCGGUAAUUC
rnacentral:rRNA from 1 species